GCUGAUGUCUGGGCACUCUGGCCCCCGGCCCCGCCUCCUCAGAUACCCCUGGGCGCCUGUGGCCAGUGUGACAGCUGGUGGUCAUGUGCUCAGGUGGCCCAGAAGUGACUGCAGUUCCAGGCAUGCCCUGGCCCUGCAGGGCCCUGCCCCACCCAGCUCUGCCUGCAAGGUCACCCUGAGUGGCAGCAUCGUCCCCAGGCUGGGAGCUGGGAACACACACAACCCAGCCAUGGGAUCCUUUGCCUCCUGCCCUGGGCCAAGAGUCAUAGGGUUCUGUGACGCCCCACCCCUGCUCCGCCAUCAGGGCCCGGCAGGGACACCCAGUUGCCCUUGUGUGGGGGCCGACAGCCUGCCACUAUUUUCCUGCUGCCGCCUGAGGGGUCCCCUGGUUCCUGGGGCCUCAGGUGGAUGAGAUGGCUUCCCCAGUGUCCUCCCCUCACCUUGGGCUACCUCAUGACCGUCCUAAGGCCACAGUGACAGGCCACAGCUGUUAACAGCCUAACCCUUGUGAUCCCCAGAAAGCAUCCUAAACAAGAGAUCAGCAAGGGCCCACUGUUAUCACCCCAAGGUCCCCAGACCCGAGUGGGGUAUAACCAGCAUAGAGGGGCUGGGCCUUUUGGAGACUCAGAGCAGCCGUGGCCUCCAGUCUCCACGUCAGUGUUUCCACAGUGGAGCAGCAGCCGUCAGGCCGCUGCCGUGACCCCUGCAGCUGUGACAGGAGGAUCCAUUUGGCCAGUCACAGAUGAUGCCGUGGCAGAGUUGACCUUGGUCCCAUCUCAGACUUGAGAAAUGGACCAAGCUCCACUCACACCAAGCACAUGCUUGCUGUCACAGAGCUCCCCUCACACUGUCCAGCCCCUGGAUCCCCUGACUCCCAUGCUGCAGCUCAGACCAGCCCAAAUACACCCUCACUGGUCCUGGAAAUCUCAGGAUUCUUAUCCCAGAUCAUGUGGGCACAGCGGGCAAUCAUGAGGGACUGGCAGAGGCCAUUGUGUCAGCCCGCAGACUAGCAGCAACCCGUGGAAGCCAGAGAUGCAGCAGCCAGAGACUUGUGGAGAGCCCCACAGACACAGCAAGAGCUGCUAAAGAGUCCCGACUGCUGCCAAGGGGUGACAAGCCUCAGCUACUAAGGAGUGGUAAUGCUAAGAGCUGGGAGAUACACCUAGAGCCUGGAGCCACAAAGGGAGCUGACCCAUGGCAAUACAAUUCUGUGACGUACACAUCGAUGGCAUCAUCAUCAUCACCAUCACCGUUACCAUGACAACAACAUCAUCACCCCCACCCACCAUCUUCACCAGCACCACCACCACCACCACCAGCAUCAGCACCACCAGCAUCAGCACCACCAGCAUGAGAAACAUCACUGCCACCAGCCCUAAGCUGUGGUGCCGAGUUUCAACACAGUUUUGUCUCCUUUCCAAGCCAUGUUGCAAGAAGAGGAAAUGAGCCAGCACUGCACUUGGCAAGAGCAGGUGGGCAGAAGGCCAAGCCUCAAGUAGUGGUUGGUUGUAUUUGUUCUGGCUUGGGUAGCAACAGCAACGACAUGAGAAGGGGCAAAUGAUAUUUACUCUGCCUGCACCAGAAUCUCAGGAAAGGAUAGGGCUCCAGUGCAGCCUCUGCCCCAGGACCUGAGUGGUCCUGCCCAGCAACCAUGAGCUCCAAAGCUGGCUGGACCCAUGUCUUUCUACAAAGGGAUCCAGCUACACCUGUGUCCAGGUCCCUGAGAUUGCUGGGACCCUGGACAUGCUCAGCAGCGGGACUGGCCCUUGAGGGUCUCCCUAUGUAGCCCAAGCUGGCCUCAAGCUUGUGAUCCUCCUGCCUCAGCCUCCGAGUACCUGGGAUUACAGGUGUGCACCACCACGCCUGGCUUGGAAGAAACUCUUACUGAGCCUCCAUGUGGCACGCGAAGCUCUAAGCUGGAAACACGCAGCCAGGGGCUUAGCUGCUCCUGCUGCUGAGCUACUGAACUAGAGGCCGGGUCAGAUGCAGCCACCCCUGCUUUGCUGUCUUCAGGUGAUUCCGGGUGCAGGUGUGAAAGUCCUGUGUCACCGCGUGGAGAACACCCGCCUGGCAGCCCUUCUGCCCCAGGCGUCACGUCCCACGCCCCACGCCCCAGCCGUGGGAGAACCGUGCACCAGCCCUCGGGUGACAUGGACCAGAGAGAGCUGCAGCCACACGUGCGCACUCCCUUUCUCCUCCUGUGUGACGCAGGGCUGGGCCCGGAGGAGGAGAAGGACGCAGGGUUUGUGGGACAGGGCGUGAGGACCGGAGGAGGGCCCGCCCACCACACCUGUGAUUGUGAGGCCGAGCCCCAGUCCCACCAGAGCCAACGUAAAGACAGCCCGGCUGCUCACUUCCCUGGGCCCCCUUCCUCCCCCUGGGAGAAAAGUGAGACCCAAUGAGGACUUCCAGGCUGAAAGGGGACUGAGGGCCACACAUGGGCUAGUCCUGUGUGGCCAGGGCAGCCAGCGCCAAGGUUCCAGCCACUGGGCUGUGGAGCUGCUGGGCUGUUGUCAUGGAGACGGCUGGGCUGCUGCUGCUGGGAAAGGAAGCAAUUAGCCCAGAAGGAGGGCGGCUGUGGGGCCCAGGCCUGCUGCACCCACCCCUCAGCUCAGCCCCUCCUGGCUCCGGACCUGCAGCCGGGCCCCCACGGGUCCGUUCCUGACCUGGUUUUGGAUGGAAUAUGACUCAGCCCUCAGCAGGACGCCAACCAGAAGUGCUCCGUUCUCUGCAGGCACAAGACACAGGAAAGAGUCACUGCCUGUUGGGAAUGCUCUGAGUGUUUAGGAGAAGAGAACUGACUUCAGGGCCCAGAAUAAAUAUCCUCCUGAAGAGGACUGCAGGAACAGGAGAGCACUCCGGAGAUCUCUAUCUUGGGUUCUAACAAGGACCAAGUGGGAGAUGGCGGCAGUUGUUGGAGAUGGAAACUGUGUUUGCCCAAAGCUGUGUGCUGCGGAGGAGCGGUGGGUUGGAAGCUGCUGAGGACCAGGGCGGUGAAGCGAGGACCAGCCUGAGGGACUCGGGGAGGGAAGCUCGAGAGAAAGAGGAGAUUGCAGUGAGCUGAAGGUAAAGCCAAGGAGAUUACCGAAAGCCGGCAUGGGGGCUGCCUCGCCUCCCGCUGGGUCCAGGUCCCGGCAGCCUGUCCCGCCACCCUCCCCGGCCCUGCAGUGCCCUCCUCUCUCCCAGGCUGGAGGCCUGGUCCCUGCUCCCUCUCCACCCCUUGGACUCCACUUCCUCUUCCACACAGAGAUGUCCUCUGCUCCACCAGGCCUCUUCUGCGCCUUGGUCCCUCAGGCCGAUCCCCACACCCACUGACCCAGUGCCCACUGAGCUACCCCUGGUCCCAGCCUCACUCCCUCCGUCCCAGAGACCCCUGCCACAGCCACAGCCCAGGCUCUGGCUGCGAUGCAGCUUGUUCCUCCUCCUCAGUCUGCUGCAUGGCUGCGUGACACCAGCCUCCACCACUUUCUUCCUCUCUCAGCCUGGCCCUUUUGCCACCUGUCAUACACGGCCCUGUGGUGUCCCAAGUGGGUGGGUAGCUGGAGGACUUCUGUGGUCAAGGAUGUCCCUCUCCAUGCCGUGCGCACGCUCCUUCACAAGGCAGUCACAGCGACCUGUUGCAUUCCAAAGACCCAUGCCUGAAGUUCAGUGCUCCGGGCCACUGUCACCACCGACCUCUGUCAGCUCUCUGUAAGCUGCCCCCACCUACACCCCGAGGUGGCAGAGCCCAGCUGCUGGCAGAGCCCCUGCCUGCCCCACCCAGCCGCAGCACGGUGCUGCCGAGCCUCCUCCUCGGGCUCCGCCUGGCCCUCUGCUCCAGGUGGCCCUGUGUGUGUCUCCUCUGGGACCACGGGCGACAAACUGUCUCCCCAGUACCCAUCGUCUCCCCGUCAUGGGCCUUGGUACUUCGAGCUGCAUUUCCACACUGCUGGCCCUGAUGUCCCCUCGUGGCUCAAGCUUGGCGAACCCUCCCUUGCUCCAGCCCGGCCGCUCCUCCCGCAGCGGGGACAGCUGGGCUGAGCCAUGGGUGCAGGUCACAGAAUUGUGGCCCCACGUCCUAC